GACGAACGCUGGCGGCGUGCUUAACACAUGCAAGUCGAACGGAAAGGCCCUGCUUUUGUGGGGUGCUCGAGUGGCGAACGGGUGAGUAACACGUGAGUAACCUGCCCUUGACUUUGGGAUAACUUCAGGAAACUGGGGCUAAUACCGGAUAGGAGCUCCUGCUGCAUGGUGGGGGCUGGAAAGUUUCGGCGGUUGGGGAUGGACUCGCGGCUUAUCAGCUUGUUGGUGGGGUAGUGGCUUACCAAGGCUUUGAAGGGUAGCCGGCCUGAGAGGGUGACCGGCCACAUUGGGACUGAGAUACGGCCCAGACUCCUACGGGAGGCAGAAGUGGGGAAUAUUGCACAAUGGGCGGAAGCCUGAUGCAGCAACGCCGCGUGCGGGAUGACGGCCUUCGGGUUGUAAACCGCUUUCGCCUGUGACGAAGCGUGAGUGACGGUAAUGGGUAAAGAAGCACCGGCUAACUACGUG
rnacentral:rRNA from 1 species